AUUGAACGCUGGCGGCAGGCUUAACACAUGCAAGUCGAGCGGAGAGAGGUAGCUUGCUACUGAUCUUAGCGGCGGACGGGUGAGUAAUGCUUAGGAAUCUGCCUAUUAGUGGGGGACAACAUUUCGAAAGGAAUGCUAAUACCGCAUACGUCCUACGGGAGAAAGCAGGGGAUCUUCGGACCUUGCGCUAAUAGAUGAGCCUAAGUCGGAUUAGCUAGUUGGUGGGGUAAAGGCCUACCAAGGCGACGAUCUGUAGCGGGUCUGAGAGGAUGAUCCGCCACACUGGGACUGAGACGCGGCCCAGACUCCUACGGGAGGCAGCAGUGGGGAAUAUUGGACAAUGGGCGCAAGCCUGAUCCAGCCAUGCCGCGUGUGUGAAGAAGGCCUUAUGGUUGUAAAGCACUUUAAGCGAGGAGGAGGCUACUUUAGUUAAUACCUAGAGAUAGUGGACGUUACUCGCAGAAUAAGCACCGGCUAACUCUGUGCCAGCAGCCGCCGUAAUAC
rnacentral:rRNA from 1 species